GACCAUAUCACGUUGAAAUACCGGUUCUCGUACGAUCACCGAAGUUAAGCAUCGUCAUGUUUGGUUAUUAACUAGAUGAGUGACGGUUUGGAAAUACCAGGUGCUGUAAG